AAUAUUUGACAAUGGGUGGAACCAUGAUCCAGCCAUGCCCCGUGUGUGAAGAAGGACUUCGGAUUGUCCCGCACUCUCAGUCGGGAGGAAGAGAUGUAGACUAAUACCAUGCAAUUUCGACGUUACCAACAGAAUAAGCACCGGCUAACUUCAUGCUAGCAGCCCCGCUAAUACGAAGGGUGCAAGCGUUAAUCGGAAUGACUGGGCGUAAAGCGCGCGUAGGUGGUUCGUUAAGUUGGAAGUGAAAGCCCCGGGCUUAACCUGGGAAUUGCUUUCAAAACUGACGAGCUAGAGUACGGUAGAGGGUAGUGGAAUUUCCUGUGUAGCGGUGAAAUGCGUAGAUAUAGGAAGGAACAUCAGUGGCGAAGGCGACUACCUGGACUGAUACUGACACUGAGGUGCGAAAGCGUGGGGAGCAAACA
rnacentral:rRNA from 1 species